GGGGAAGCCAGCUGCCAUGUCCUGAAGAUACUAAGGCAACCGUGUGCAGAGGAACUAAAAUACCGAGUUCAACAACAGAUCACAGGUUGCGAGAGGUCUUAAAUCCAUACUCUUCCAGUGACUAGAGCAAAUGCAGCCCUAGGUCUGGCAUCCUGAAUUUUUGUCUUAUUUUUUCAUUAGUACACGAGACUCUACUUUCAUCUUUUUAAAAGGUCUCUUGCUAUCCUUCAAGCAAAGCUAUCUCCAAAUCUGAAGAAGAGACCAAGAAAUAGAAAAAGUAGCACCUCUUGCCUGCUUCCCUGUCUAAUAUUUGAAAGAGUGCCUCCAUCAGAGAGCUCCAUCCAGACCUAGACUUGGACAAUAGGCAGUUGUUUGCUUGCCUCUGGCUCUGCUCACUCUCCAUGGGGGUCUAUAGCUGGUGAUCAUCUUGUAUACCUAAUUCUGGCUUCAUCUUCAGACUCGGACAGGAUUUGAGGUACUGAUAUUUUGGUCUGGAGAGCAUUAUUUUGACCUCAUCAAAAAGAGUGAACUGCUUAGUUUGUUAGCUGGCAUAGACUAUAAUUCUGAGCCAGAGGUCACAGGUUGGGAGGGGAAAAUGUAUCUUUUGUUUUAUU
rnacentral:lncRNA from 1 species